rnacentral:rRNA from 1 species
AGUUUGAAUCCUGGCUCAGGAUGAACGCUAGCGGCAGGCCUAAUACAUGCAAGUCGAACGGUCUCUAGCAAUAGAGAUAGUGGCGCACGGGUGCGUAACGCGUAACCAACCUACCUGAAUCUGGGGGAUAGCCCGCCGAAAGGCGGAUUAAUACCGCAUAAAACCACAGCCUGGCAUCAGGCAAUGGUUAAAGAUUUAUUGGAUUCAGAUGGGGUUGCGUGCCAUUAGCUAGUUGGGGAGGUAACGGCUCACCAAGGCGACGAUGGCUAGGGGAGCUGAGAGGCUGGUCCCCCACACGGGCACUGAGAUACGGGCCCGACUCCUACGGGAGGCAGCAGUAGGGAAUAUUGGGCAAUGGACGAGAGUCUGACCCAGCCAUGCCGCGUGCAGGAUGAAGGCUUUCUGAGUCGUAAACUGCUUUUAUCAGGGAAGAAAAAAGGGGAUG